AAGUCGUAACAAGGUAUCCGUAGGUGAACCUGCGGAUGGAUCAUUAUAGGAUGAUGGAAUGGAUGUGAGUGGUUUUAUUAAUAGUUUGAGCGGUGUUGGUUGGGAUGCGAAGCAGGAUUGCCAAGCAAGACAGCCAACAUUGCCUCACGUUAAACUCUAUAAAUCUAACAAUUACAUACAAAAAAAAACAACUUUUAGCAACGGAUCUCUUGGCUCUC
rnacentral:misc_RNA from 1 species